GACGAACGCUGGCGGCGUGCCUAAUACAUGCAGGUUGAGCGCUGAAGGUUGGUACUUGUACCAACUGGAUGAGCAGCGAACGGGUGAGUAACGCGUGGGGAAUCUGCCUUUGAGCGGGGGACAACAUUUGGAAACGAAUGCUAAUACCGCAUAAAAACUUUAAACACAAGUUUUAAGUUUGAAAGAUGCAAUUGCAUCACUCAAAGAUGAUCCCGCGUUGUAUUAGCUAGUUGGUGAGGUAAAGGCUCACCAAGGCGAUGAUACAUAGCCGACCUGAGAGGGUGAUCGGCCACAUUGGGACUGAGACACGGCCCAAACUCCUACGGGAGGCAGCAGUAGGGAAUCUUCGGCAAUGGACGAAAGUCUGACCGAGCAACGCCGCGUGAGUGAAGAAGGGUUUCGGAUCGUAAAACUCUGUUGGUAGAGAAGAACGUUGGUGAGAGUGGAAAGCUCAUCAAGUGACGGUAACUACCCAGAAAGGGACGGCUAACUACGUG
rnacentral:rRNA from 1 species